rnacentral:tRNA from 1 species
UUAAGGCGGUGGUUUGUAAUUCCAUUUAUGGAGUGUGAGCUCCUCUUAUCA